CUACGGAGGGUGCAAGCGUUACUCGGAAUCACUGGGCGUAAGGCGCGCGCAGGCGGCCAUUUAAGUUGGAUGUGAAAGCCUACGGCUCAACCGUAGAACUGCAUCCAAAACUAUUUGGCUAGAGUGUGGGAGAGGAAGAUGGAAUUAGUUGUGUAGGGGUAAAAUCCGUAGAGAUAACUAGGAAUACCAAAAGCGAAGGCAAUCUUCUGGAACACUACUGACGCUGAGGCGCGAAAGCGUGGGGAGCAAACGGGAUUAGAUACCCUAGUAGUCC
rnacentral:rRNA from 1 species